UACGUAGGGUCCGAGCGUUGUCCGGAAUUAUUGGGCGUAAAGGGCUCGUAGGCGGUUUGUCACGUCGGGAGUGAAAACUCAGGGCUUAACCCUGAGCGUGCUCCGAUACGGGCUGACUAGAGGGAUGCAGGGGAGAACGGAAUUCCUGGUGUAGCGGUGGAAUGCGCAGAUAUCAGGAGGAACACCGGUGGCGAAGGCGGUUCUCUGGGCAUUUCCUGACGCUGAGGAGCGAAAGCAUGGGGAGCGAACAGG
rnacentral:rRNA from 1 species